CCACAGAGCCAUAAUGGUCUCUGGGUUCCAUGAAGCCCUGCUUUGUCACCAUGGCCCCUUGGUUCCAUGGGCUCCAGUGGUGCCACAAGGAUCCCCUUGGUUCCAUGAGGUCCUCACUGUGUCCCAGGGAUCUCUAUGGGAAGGAAAGAACCCAGCCCCAGUGUUGCAGGGGCAGUCACCAGAGGCCAAGGCCAGCCAGACUUGACAGUACUGGCAGAUUUUGCCUGGCAGCAACCCUUGGAUAUACAGAAUUUUGGAGGUAGAAUCCCAAUUUAAGACAUGGAUACCCAGAGGAGAAAAACGAUUAUUUUAUGUAGGAAGGAGGGCGCAGAACAUGGGUGUUUGAAGGGCAGAUGAAAGGUGGCCAUCAGAGGCUUAGGCCAAACAGACCUCUCUGUCCUGGAAGGAAAGCACAGAGCCCAAGUGUUUCAAAGCCUGAUGAGGAGAGAGAUGGCUCCUGGGAGGCCAAGCCAGCCAGACCUGUUUGUCCUGGCAGCUUUUGUCAUUGAGGAAUCCUUGGCUAUAUGGAAUUUGGGAGGAGGACUCUCAUUUUUCAUCAUGGACACCUGGAGAAGAAGGAUGGUUCUUUUCUAUUGGAAGGAAAGCCUUAGCCCUCUCGGGAUCUCCUCCGGUCUGGUCUAGUUGGGAAGAUCCCAAGGGCAGCCUAAACAACAAUUGGUGACCCCUGGACGUGUGAAAUUGAUGGCAACCCCAGGAGUGACCACAGAGUCCAGCCUGGAGCUGAAGAAACGAGACCCUGAAGAUGGGCAGAGUUCACAGCCAAGGCAAACAGGAGAACCUGUUGGACUUUCCUGGACAUUGUGUCCAGAGACCGCAGAGCUGCACAGCUGGAU